rnacentral:lncRNA from 1 species
UAAAGUGGAAGUUAGAGGGCCCUCAAGAAACCCUCAGCCACUACAGGCACUCAGAGAACAAUUACAGGACCUGCAAAUAUACAAAAGCCCUGCUAUCAACCACAUAUCUGACCACGAUGUUAUAGAACAGAGAGAGGAGCAUCUACUCAGAGUCCUGCCUUUUUACAUACAGGUCUGUGAGUGUGGUGGCAGAGCUGAAGGGCUGGACCUGAAGGAGCUUGCGGCUCUCACUGCUGAGACAGUGGUCUCUAACAUCCACAGCCGACUGGCUGAUAGGCCUGCAGAGGAUGCUCGCAAUGAGGUGGUGCUGUUCUUCCAGAGGCUGGGCGGAGAGACAGACUGUGAGCCCACAGACAGCCCAGGGUGGCUGCUAUUAAAGUCUUUGUCACUCCUGACAGCUGACAGCUCUGAUGAUUUGUCCUGGAUAAAACCAGGUCUCCCUGCUGCCCUGGUGACGUGUCUGUACCUCCUAGUGUGCCUUCCAG